UGGGGAAUUUUGGACAAUGGGCGAAAGCCUGAUCCAGCAAUGCCGCGUGUGUGAAGAAGGCCUUCGGGUUGUAAAGCACUUUUGUCCGGAAAGAAAUCCUUGGCUCUAAUACAGUCGGGGGAUGACGGUACCGGAAGAAUAAGCACCGGCUAACUACGUGCCGGCAGCCGCGGUAAUACGUAGGGUGCAAGCGUUAAUCGGAAUUACUGGGCGUAAAGCGUGCGCAGGCGGUUUGCUAAGACCGAUGUGAAAUCCCCGGGCUCGACCUGGGAACUGCAUUGGUGACUGGCAGGCUAGAGUAUGGCAGAGGGGGGUAGAAUUCCACGUGUAGCAGUGAAAUGCGUAGAGAUGUGGAGGAAUACCGAUGGCGAAGGCAGCCCCCUGGGCCAAUACUGACGCUCAUGCACGAAAGCGUGGGGAGCAAACAGGAUUAGAUACCCUGGUAGUCCACGCCCUAAACGAUGUCAACUAGUUGUUGGGGAUUCAUUUCCUUAGUAACGUAGCUAACGCGUGAAGUUGACCGCCUGGGGAGUACGGUCGCAAGAUUAAAACUCAAAGGAAUUGACGGGGU
rnacentral:rRNA from 1 species